rnacentral:sRNA from 2 species
ACCGCUGCCAACCUACCUAUCGCUGCCAACCUACCUAUUGCUGCCAACCUACCUACCGCUGCCAACCUACCUACCGCUGCCAACCUAUCUAUCGCUGCUAAUCUAUCGCUGCUAAUCUAUCACUGCUAAUCUAUCGCUGCUAAUCUAUCGCUGCUAAUCUAUCGCUGCUAAUCUAUCGCUGCCAACCUACCUACUGCUGCCAACCUACCUACCGCUGCCAACCUACCUACCGCUGCCAACCUAUCUACCACUGCUAAUCUAUCUAUCGCUGCUAAUCUAUCGCUGCUAAUCUAUCGCUGCUAAUCUAUCGCUGCUAAUCUAUCGCUGCCAACCUACCUACCGCUGCCAACCUACCUACCGCUGCCAACCUAUCUACCACUGCUAAUCUAUCUAUCGCUGCUAAUCUAUCGCUGCUAAUCUAUCGCUGCUAAUCUAUCGCUGCUAAUCUAUCGCUGCCAACCUACCUACCGCUGCCAACCUACCUACUGCUGCCAACCUAUCUAUCGCUGCUAAUCUAUCGCUGCUAAUCUAUCGCUGCUAAUCUAUCGCUGCCAACCUACCUACUGCUGCCAACCUACCUACCACUGCCAACCUAUCUACCGCUGCCAACCUACCUACCACUGCUAAUCUAUCGCUGCUAAUCUAUCGCUGCCAACCUAUAUAGGGUAAAUCAUGGUCCCAUUUGGUCCCAUUUUGUAAAAUGGGACCAAAUGGGACUGGGACCACUAAUUUAUUAGUAAAACAUGAUCUGGGACUAGAUUUAUAAUAUAAACAGUGUAAAGUGACUAAUUUACUAAACACUAUAUGGGACCAGGACUAAGAUAUCUAAUAAUGGGACUAAGGAAAAAUUUGGUCCCAGUCCCAUGCAUGGUCACACGGUCAGUCUAAUGAAGAUAGAGUUGAAGUAUCUGAAAACUUCUUUCAGAAGAUUGAAAUCACUGAAAAACUAGAGAUUAUUAUUAAAAAAUAUAAGA